GCUGCUAGCACCCGUGGAGGGAUCCUUAUGCUCUGGGACGAUAGUUAUGUCAACAUCUCCAAUGUUGUCACCUCUGAGUUCUGCCUUUCGGCGGACGUGGCCGUCCUGAACUCCGGCUCCCGCUUCAAGAUAACUACGGUCUAUGGGCCUACCGCGCACUCCAGAAAAGAUGAUUUCUUUGCGGAGCUCCUUGCCCAGAAACCACCAGCUGGCCAUAUGUGGCUGGCCUUGGGGGAUUUCAACCAAAUCUACCGUGCGCGCGACAAGAACAAGCGUAACAUAAAUCGUAGCCGCAUCAACCGCUUCCGUGCCACCCUUCAGGCGUGUGAGCUAAAAGAAUUACAUCUUCAAGACAGAAGAUUCACCUGGAGCAAUGAGCGGGUGAACCCCACGCUUUGCAAGCUUGACUCCUACUUCUGCAAUGCCGACUGGGACAUUCAGUUUGACACCCAUGUGCUACAUGCGCUCUCCUCCUCGCUCUCUGACCACUGCCCUUUACUCCUCGCCGACGAUCGAGGGCCUCGUAGGCCUCGGAGCUUCAAAUUUGAGAACUUUUGGUGUUCCAUCCCGGGUUUCUCCGAGGUUGUCGAGAAUGCUUGGGCUGCACACACUGGCCAUUCUGAGCCCUACCAAAUCCUUUUUCACAAGCUCAAGAGAGUUGGCAUGAGAUUGACAGAGUGGAGUAGAAAUUUGUUUUCCAAGCCCAAGUUGCACCUACAUGCUGCGUUGUUGGUUAUCCUUAGGCUCGAUGUUGCUCAAGAGUCACGGACUUUAUCUGCUGAGGAGAUGGACCUAAGAGCAAGAUUAAAAAGAAGGGUCAUUAGCUUGGCGGUCCUUGAGCGCACAAGAAAGAAGCAAUGUGCCCGCUCAAGCAAUCUCAAGGCGGGAGAUGCUAAUACCAAAUACUUUCACCUUAGGGUGAAUGCGAGAAGGAGGAAAAACCAUAUUCAUCGCCUCAAACACAACAAUGGUUGGGUUACGAACCACGAGCAAAAAGAGAAAAUCAUUCAUGACCACUUCACCAAGGCCAUCGGAAGAGGGGGCCCUCGAACCAAGGACUUCAACUGGUAG
rnacentral:rRNA from 1 species